UACCAGACUCCUACGGGAGGCAGCAGUGGGGGAUAUUGCACAAUGGGGGGAACCCUGAUGCAGCGACGCCGCGUGGGUGAAGAAGCGCCUCGGCGCGUAAAGCCCUGUCAGCAGGGAAGAAAAUGACGGUACCUGAAGAAGAAGCCCCGGCUAACUACGUGCCAGCAGCCGCGGUAAUACGUAGGGGGCAAGCGUUAUCCGGAUUUACUGGGUGUAAAGGGGGCGCAGACGGCGAUGCAAGCCAGGAGUGAAAGCCCGGGGCCCAACCCCGGGACUGCUUUUGAAACUGUUGAACUAGAUUGCAGGAGAGGUAAGUGGAAUUCCUAGUGUAGCGGUGAAAUGCGUAGAUAUUAGGAGGAACACCAGCGGCGAAGGCGGCUUACUGGACUGUAAAUGACGCUGAGGCUCGAAAGCGUGGGGAGCAAACAGGAUUAGAUACCCGCGUAC
rnacentral:rRNA from 1 species